GGUCUGCUGGCGUAAUUGGAAGCGCGUCUGACUACGAAUCUGUAUAUCAGGAGGUUCCAGGUUCGAGCCCUGGGUGGAUCG